rnacentral:lncRNA from 1 species
CGCUAACUACAAGCUGUGCUUGACAAGAAUUAAUUGUAUUUUUCAAAAUAGCUGGUGGAGAGGAUUUGGAAUGUUCCCAACACAAGGAAAUGAUGAAUGUUUGCAGUGAUGGCUAUGCUGAUGACCUUACUCUGACUGUUACAUAUGCACAAUCAAACAUAUCAUUGAGUUUACCUAGAAAUACAGUUUUCUGCUCAUCAAGAGCACUGAGAUGUCAGUUUUGCCUCUCUUGGAUGCCCUGCUUGGGAGGAAGACAGCUGCUGUGUGGUGGGAAGAAAGACUUCAACAACCUCGAAAAACCACCCCUGUGAUGAGGAACUGAAGCCUCCUCCCAAGAGCAGGGAUCGAACUAGGGACCUUGUACUUGCGUAGCAGGCACCGGAACCACUGAGCUAAAUCCCCGGCCCCAAAAAUGCAUUCUUAAAGGCAGAAGUUUCUGUUGCUCUCCUUGAUCCUCAAAGCAACUAUGGAAGAUUUCCUAUUCCAGCAAUGCCAUCACAGUGUUUCCCCCUCUGGAUGCCCUUCCUACUGUUUGAAUCUGAUGCUUGUCUCACAGUGAGGGUUUCUGACGUCAGGGCCUGGAACCUGGAUAGCAGAUUGAUCCAUGAUAGCGCUGUGAGACUGAGCCAGUGCAGGCAGGGCCUCUGAGACUUGGAAAGCUGGAUCAUAAAAGAUAGCAGAGGUCCUGCCUGUGGUUUUGAUACUCACUCUUAGAACUCAACUACCGAUACAAAGAAGUCCAAACCAACUCGAGUUGGAGGCCCCUGGCAAGUUCCCCCUCCUGCGACCCAGCUGAGGCCCUAGCCAACAGCAGUAUUAAUGGCCAACUGUGUGGAUGAAGAAGCCCCUGAGGGGCCCGCCUCCCAGGACAUGGGCUGCCUCCAGCCUUUGAGUCUUCCCAGCCGAAGCUUCGAAUGUCUUGGAGCAGAAACAAUCUAGAGCAUUCUGCUGUGUUUGGAUUCCUGACCUGAAGAAUCUAUGGAUGGCAUUCACCUGAACUGCUUCACAGAGGAGAUCUCCAAGUGAUGGUGAGGAACGGCAACCACUUAGCAUCCAUUCGAGCCAGACUACGCACUCACGCGAUGGACAGUUCCCCUGGCGCCUCAGGCUCCAGCAUUGAGUGCAUCUUUGGCGUCUCUCUGUUUUUCUAAACCAAGCAAAUGCAACAUCGAAGUUCAAAGAGACAUUGUACACUGGGUGCAAAUCCUGAACCAGCAGAAGAUGAGAAUCGGUGGGCGAAUGACCCUGAAUCCGUUUGUGAGGUCAAUUCUGGGUCUCCUCAGAGGUUUGCACAUAGGACCCAGCAGACUGUUCAACAGCUCCUGUGAAUGCUUUUAAUGGUUUAAAUACUGUACUUAUUAUCCCUUUCUUUAUACCCUCAGUUUUACUCCAUAGGAUCAUCUUUCAAAUAAACCACCAGCACCUACAACCUUGUCCCGGGCUCCACUUCUAGGAUGAACUCAAACUAAGACAAGUUAUGGAGUUAGGGUUUCUCAGGAAAGGUUGUAUUUAGAGACAAGUACCCUCCUUAUUAGAAAUAUUAAUGUGCUGGAAGCCUCAAAGUUCCAGCCUGCUUCACUGACAGUGAUCUAGUGAAAUUUACAUAGCUGCUUCUUAUUUCUAUAAUCAGAAAAAGAUUAAAUAGGUCUCAUUUUUCUGGAAAUACAGAAUUGUACGAUUCCUAUUUCUGUAUGAGAACUCGUUUCUUUUCUCCUUGAUCCACAAAUUAAACUUACAGCUAUAGGACAACCAUAUUAAUUUUUUAAACGCAGUAACAUUUUGACUAAAUCUUCUAAGAAGUAAUUAUCCUGUUUUCAUUAAUGCUAAUAUAUUAUUGCAGAAACAUUUUUUUUUUUUAAACACAACUAAAAAGCCCAAGAAUGUCAAGGGCUGGUAAAACCAUGUGGUAGAUUAACUGAUGGUCAGUUUAAGUGGGAAUGCCCAGCUGAACUGAGUCAGCAUGGUUCUGGCCAUGGAGACCCCACCUGAGGAUUGUCAUCAGAACAGAAAUCAAAGGAGAACAGGAGGGGAGGAUUUGCUGCUGAUUCUCCUUGGAAGGUCCUUACUCCAGAAUGAUGGUGCUUCUGCUAUGGUUCACCUAUGGGGGCUGCCAGAGACCCCAGAAAGCAUCUCAUCUCCUGCCCCCUUCCUACCCUCUGGAAGAGCAGAGGCUGCUGAGCUUUGGCUGCUGUUCCCCUCAGAGGAGCUCUAUCCUGGGUGUCAUCUCCUGGCUCUCAGUCAUCUCCAGACUCUUUGGCCUUCACCACCAGCCUCUGGGCUUUCCCGGGCAGACCCUCAGUCUUCCCUCAAAGACUCCUCGGCUUUCUGAUGCAGACUCAAGAGGACAUUGCUGUGGGACCCAGACCCUCAGCUGGAUUCUUCAGAUCUCCAGUGUACGGACAAGUCUCUUGCACUCUUCUGCACUUGACUUUCAGUAUCCAUUCUGAUUGUAAUUGUGCUAGACUUGAGCCCAGCCAGGAGAAAUUCAGGAAAUUUAGAAACAUGUCUCUGAGAGCCUGAAUGGAACAAAAUAAAGACCAUGAAGGUCAACCCAGUUGAUUCACACGAGGUACAUGAGGUAGCAUGAAGGUGUAAAGGGGGUCACUCCACGAUCAUCAUCCUUUAUUUCCUGACUCAACACCACCUGCUCAUACAAAGCCCAGGUCUCAUUUUAGCCAGACGCCAGCGGUCUCCAGAAGAGUCCUAUGCAGAACUCAUUCUCUGCCUCACUUCCACCCCUGCGCUGCCUCGGUAAGGUUGGCUGGCCAAGGUAUUGCUGGGGGCUGCUCCAUUGCAGCAUCCGGUACUAGGGACGCACAGUGAAACUGUACGUGGUAAGGUUCCUCCCUUCCCAGCAGCUGCUCUUUAGGAGCCAAACUACCGCUCUUCCUGAGCGCCAUGAUACCCUGUGUUUAUGUUGAAAUGUGGUUUCUUUCCUAUUGACAGAUGCGUUGCCACCUGGAAUUAAAACAGUGCAACUUAGGAGUUGCUAUCGCCUCAGGUUCCCAAAGAGAACUAAAGCCUGAUAUCUCUUCCUUAGCACUCAUAUGAAUCUCCAGGCUGAGCAAGUUACAGAAAGCAAAUGUUAAGCCCGCUCAGCUUUCACUAUCUUUUCUUACCUGUCCCCGACCCCAGCUACUGUCCACCCAGACACACAGCCCUUUCAUAUUCCAUUCAAAA